CUAACCAGGAUUCCCCUAGUAACGGCGAGUGAAGCGGGAAGAGCUCAAAUUUGUAAUCUGGCGGUCUCGCGGCCGUCCGAGUUGUAAUCUGGAGAAGCGUUUUCCGUGCCGGUCCCGUGUAUAAGUCCCUUGGAACGGGGCGUCGUAGAGGGUGAGAAUCCCGUUCACGACACGGUUCCGCCGGCACUCUUGCGAUGCGCUCUCGAAGAGUCGAGUUGUUUGGGAAUGCAGCUCAAAACGGGUGGUAAAUUCCAUCUAAAGCUAAAUAUUGGCGAAAGACCGAUAGCGAACAAGUACCGUGAGGGAAAGAUGAAAAGCACUUUGGAAAGAGAGUCAAACAGUACGUGAAAUUGUUGAAAGGGAAACGCUUGAAGUCAGUCGCGUCUCUCGGGACUCAGUCGGGCGUUCGCGCUCGACGCAUUUCCCGCUGUCGGACGGGCCAGCAUCGAUUUCGAUCGUCGGAGAAAGGUUCGAGGAAUGUGGCACCUCCGGGUGUGUUAUAGCCUCGGAUCGCAUGCGUCGGUCGGGAUCGAGGAACGCAGCGCGCCCCUCUCUUUCGAGAGGGGGCCGGGGGCAUACUCACGGAACGCGCUUUGGAUGCUGGCGUAAUGGCUUUAA
rnacentral:rRNA from 1 species